AGAGUUUGAUCCUGGCUCAGGACGAACGCUGGCGGCGUGCGUAACACAUGCAAGUCGAACGAGAGAGUGAGAGAAGCUUGCUUUUCUUAUGAUCGAGUGGCAAACGGGUGAGUAACGCGUAAACAACCUGCCCCGCAGAUGGGGACAACAGCUGGAAACGGCUGCUAAUACCGAAUACGCUCCUCUUAGCGCAUGGUAAGAGGAAGAAAGGGUGGCCUCUGGAACAAGCUACCGCUGUGGGAGGGGUUUGCGUCUGAUUAGCUGGUUGGAGGGGUAACGGCCCACCAAGGCGACGAUCAGUAGCCGGUCUGAGAGGAUGAACGGCCACAUUGGAACUGAGACACGGUCCAGACUCCUACGGGAGGCAGCAGUGGGGAAUCUUCCGCAAUGGGCGAAAGCCUGACGGAGCAACGCCGCGUGAGUGAAGAAGGAUUUCGGUUCGUAAAGCUCUGUUGUUAGGGAAGAAUGGAUAUGUAGUAACUAUACAUAUAAGAGACGGUACCUAACCAGAAAGCCACGGCUAACUACGUGCCAGCAGCCGCGGUAAUACGUAGGUGGCAAGCGUUGUCCGGAAUUAUUGGGCGUAAAGCGCGCGCAGGCGGAUCAGUCAGUCUGUCUUAAAAGUUCGGGGCUUAACCCCGUGAUGGGAUGGAAACUGCUGAUCUAGAGUAUCGGAGAGGAAAGUGGAAUUCCUAGUGUAGCGGUGAAAUGCGUAGAUAUUAGGAAGAACACCAGUGGCGAAGGCGACUUUCUGGACGAAAACUGACGCUGAGGCGCGAAAGCCAGGGGAGCGAACGGGAUUAGAUACCCCGGUAGUCCUGGCCGUAAACGAUGGGUACUAGGUGUAGGAGGUAUCGACCCCUUCUGUGCCGGAGUUAACGCAAUAAGUACCCCGCCUGGGGAGUACGACCGCAAGGUUGAAACUCAAAGGAAUUGACGGGGGCCCG
rnacentral:rRNA from 1 species